AUUGAACGCUGGCGGCAUGCUUUACACAUGCAAGUCGAACGGUAACAGGCCGCAAGGUGCUGACGAGUGGCGAACGGGUGAGUAAUGCAUCGGAACGUGCCCAGUCGUGGGGGAUAACGCAGCGAAAGCUGCGCUAAUACCGCAUACGAUCUAUGGAUGAAAGCGGGGGACCGUAAGGCCUCGCGCGAUUGGAGCGGCCGAUGUCAGAUUAGGCAGUUGGGGGGGUAAAGGCCCACCAAGCCAACGAUCUGUAGCUGGUCUGAGAGGACGACCAGCCACACUGGGACUGGGCCACGGCCCAGACUCCUACGGGAGGCAGCAGUGGGGAAUUUUGGACAAUGGGCGCAAGCCUGAUCCAGCAAUGCCGCGUGCAGGAAGAAGGCCUUCGGGUUGUAAACUGCUUUUGUACGGAACGAAACGGUUCUCUCUAAUACAGGGGGCUAAUGACGGUACCGUAAGAAUAAGCACCGGCUAACUACGUGCCAGCCGCCGCGGUAACAC
rnacentral:rRNA from 1 species